rnacentral:misc_RNA from 1 species
UUUCCGUAGGUGAACCUGCGGAAGGAUCAUUAUUGUAUAACCGAGGUGCGAGGGCUGUCGCUGACCCGACAGGUCGUGCACGCCCGAGUGCUCUCCCACACAUCCAUCUCACCCCUAUGUGCACCACCGCGUGGGUCCCCCUUUGGCUCGUUCGGAGGGGGGGUUACGUUUUCACACAAACUUUGUAAGCAGUUUAGAAUGUAUAUUUUGUUUUUGCGAUCACGCAAUAAAUACAACUUUCAACAACGGAUCUCUUGGCUCUC